rnacentral:rRNA from 1 species
UGGGGAAUAUUGCACAAUGGGGGAAACCCUGAUGCAGCGACGCCGCGUGAGCGAAGAAGGUUUUCGAAUCGUAAAGCUCUGUCCUAUGGGAAGAUAAUGACGGUACCAUAGGAGGAAGCCCCGGCUAACUACGUGCCAGCAGCCGCGGUAAUACGUAGGGGGCAAGCGUUGUCCGGAAUCACUGGGCGUAAAGGGUUCGCAGGCGGAAAUGCAAGUCAGUUGUGAAAGGCAGAGGUUCAACCUCUGUAAGCAAUUGAAACUGUAUUUCUUGAGAUGUGGAGAGGCAAGUGGAAUUCCUAGUGUAGCGGUGAAAUGCGUAGAUAUUAGGAAGAAUACCGGUGGCGAAGGCGACUUGCUGGACACAAACUGACGCUGAGGAACGAAAGCGUGGGUAGCAAACAGG